rnacentral:tRNA from 1 species
UCCCCAGUAGCUCAGGUGGUAAAGAAUCUGCCUGCAAUGCAGGAGACCCUGGUUCAAUUCCUGGGUCAGGAA